AAUGAACGCUGGCGGCGCGCCUAAUACAUGCAAGUCGAGCGAGAAGACGUAGCAAUACGUUUGUAAAGCGGCGAACGGGUGAGGAAUACAUGGGUAACCUACCCUAGAGUGGGGAAUAACUAGCCGAAAGGUUAGCUAAUACCGCGUACGCUCCUUGGACUUCGGUUCAGGGAGGAAAGCGAUGCCGAGGGUAUCGCGCUCUUGGAUGGGCUCAUGUCCUAUCAGCUGUUGGUGAGGUAACGGCUCACCAAGGCUUCGACGGGUAGCUGGUCUGAGAGGACGAUCAGCCACACUGGCACU
rnacentral:rRNA from 1 species